GGCUUCAUGGUGUAGAGGUAGCAUACAUGCUUUGGGUGCAUGUGGUCGGGGGUUCGAACCCCCCCUGGAGCCC
rfam:Pneumocystis jirovecii, SE8, WGS project CAKM01000000 data, contig: 91